rnacentral:rRNA from 1 species
AGAGUUUGAUCCUGGCUCAGGACGAACGCUGGCGGCGUGCCUAAUACAUGCAAGUCGAGCGAGCUUGCCUAGAUGAUUUUGGUGCUUGCACUAAAUGAAACUAGAUACAAGCGAGCGGCGGACGGGUGAGUAGCACGUGGGUAACCUGCCCAAGAGACUGGGAUAACACCUGGAAACAGAUGCUAAUACCGGAUAACAACACUAGACGCAUGUCUAGAGUUUGAAAGAUGGUUCUGCUAUCACUCUUGGAUGGACCUGCGGUGCAUUAGCUAGUUGGUAAGGUAACGGCUUACCAAGGCAAUGAUGCAUAGCCGAGUUGAGAGACUGAUCGGCCACAUUGGGACUGAGACACGGCCCAAACUCCUACGGGAGGCAGCAGUAGGGAAUCUUCCACAAUGGACGAAAGUCUGAUGGAGCAACGCCGCGUGAGUGAAGAAGGGUUUCGGCUCGUAAAGCUCUGUUGGUAGUGAAGAAAGAUAGAGGUAGUAACUGGCCUUUAUUUGACGGUAAUUACUUAGAAAGUCACGGCUAACUACGUGCCAGCAGCCGCGGUAAUACGUAGGUGGCAAGCGUCGUCCGGAUUUAUUGGGCGUAAAGCGAGUGCAGGCGGUUCAAUAAGUCUGAUGUGAAAGCCUUCGGCUCAACCAGAGAAUUGCAUCAGAAACUGUUGAACUUGAGUGCAGAAGAGGAGAGUGGAACUCCAUAUGUAGCGGUGGAAUGCGUAGAUAUAUGGAAGAACACCAGUGGCGAAGGCGGCUCUCUGGUCUGCAACUGACGCUGAGGCUCGAAAGCAUGGGUAGCGAACAGGAUUAGAUACCCUGGUAGUCCAUGCCGUAAACGAUGAGUGCUAAGUGUUGGGAGGUUUCCGCCUCUCAGUGCUGCAGCU